UAUUUUCUGAUAUACACAGGAAAUUAAUCAGAGACUUGUUCUGCAGAACAGAAUGAAAUGAGAAGAAAAGAGGAAGGAGUUCAGGUAUAAGAUAAAGCCAAACCAUCAUGAUAUUGAUAAGCAAGACUAAAAACUCUUGUUCAGUCAUCCCCAGGUAAACACCAUUGCCUUUCUCAUACACAAUAAAAGAGUUCAAAAAAAGGUUAACCAGCAUAAAGAAACCUUUUGGGUCAUACAUCGUUCUUUCCCUUGGAAGAAACUGACAACACAGAAAAUCAUUUCUGGACAUCAGAAAUGAAACUAACUUUCCUUAUUUAGAUGCAACAGGACUUUAGUCAAGAACAGAGAUUCUUACAGUCUAAAU